rnacentral:snoRNA from 1 species
AUUCCAUGAUGGGGACACUUCUUCAAUAGUAACUUAAAUUGAUCCCAAGCUUCGUAUAAAUUUUCACAUUCAAAUUGCUUGAAGUUGGAGAUUUCACGGAGGAAU